UACGUAGGGGGCGAGCGUUGUCCGGAAUCAUUGGGCGUAAAGAGCUCGUAGGCGGCUUGUCGCGUCGUCCGUGAAAACCCACAGCUCAACUGUGGGCUUGCGGUCGAUACGGGCAGGCUAGAGUUCGGUAGGGGAGACUGGAAUUCCUGGUGUAGCGGUGAAAUGCGCAGAUAUCAGGAGGAACACCGGUGGCGAAGGCGGGUCUCUGGGCCGAUACUGACGCUGAGGAGCGAAAGCGUGGGGAGCGAACAGG
rnacentral:rRNA from 1 species